CUCUUAUCGCGAGAGACGGAGGGAAUUGGCCCGAUGAAGUCCGGCAACCACUUUACGUUCAGUAAAGUACAGGUGCCAAAUCCAACAGGACUUUCCUGAAAGAUAAGGA
rnacentral:ncRNA from 2 species